GGAGCGUAAAAGUUGACAGCCUUGAGCAUGUGACACCUUCUGCCAUGGGAUGAUGCCACAAGAAGAACCUCACCAACUGCUGGCACCUUGAUAGUGGACUUCACAGCCUCCAGAACUGUGAGCCAGGAAAAAUGUAUGACUGCAAAUUUGGAAACUAGACAGGAUCUGCCAAUACAGGGCAGAAUGUUAAAAAGAGGAUGAAUUUUAAUUUCAGAAAAUUUAGAAGAAAAUGGAUUUCUCAGGCAACUGAAAGAACAUAUUUGGAUCUGUUAAGACUAAGGGAGGCUUCAAGAGAACAGGACUUUGUGUUGGACAGACUACCUGUGACAGGGAAAAAACCCCUUCUCAAUGAUUAGAGACGAAUCAGUUAACUGGCUUGAUUUUCACAUUCUUCAUCUGUAAAAUCUGGUGAUUAGACUGGCCCAGCAAAAGAUAUAAUACACAUAAAUUGGAAUGAAUCUGCAUUUUCCAAGCCUGAUGAAUUUAUUAAAACUGAAUUAAGUCACUAACUGGCAGCCUGAAGAUGCAAGGAAAGAACUGAGUCAUGCUUCUUAAGGUAAAAGGGCAGUCUAACUGAGAAUUUUGUUAUCUCUGAGGACAAAUUUCAAGGAGAUGAAGACACUCAAGAUCACAUGGAAGGCUUCUGCUCCCACUUAGAGACUGCAAUGUAAGCAACGGAGACAAAGGGGAUUUUCCUGAGCAGUGUCAGUAACAAAGAAAUGAGGCAAAUUAUUAAGAAACUGAUGGACAUUCAUUGAAGAGCAACAAAUAUGAUUUAUAAGUCUGAAGGGACUGCCUUCAGAAGGAAGACGAAAGAGACAAGUCUCCCAGCAUGACCACGUGGCUCUAACGGGACUGGCUCAUCGGUCACAAGUACUUGAAGGGUGUAAAUAGCGGGCACAGAGAGAAAUUAUUUAGUGUCCAAAGGGACAGCAGGAGGAGUGAUGGAAAUGAAAGUCAAAACAAAGAUGAUUUAGGCAGCUGAACGAGUCACAUGCCCUAAUGGAGAGAUCUAUUAUAGGCUGUACGGCAUCAUCCCUUGGGAAGGGUGGAAACCCCAUCACUUGCGCCAUUUACAAUUGGAAAAGGCAUUAAAAAGUAGAUCGGCAUGUCGGAGAGGGAAAAAACACCACAGGUCCUCAGAGAAUCAGUGGGAUGACUUAAUAGGUCUUUUCCAUCUCAAAUUACCGUGAUGUAGUUUGUAUGCUUGGGGACCUGAGGUGCUAGAAUAAUUUUUCCAUCAUUUGGGCUUCUUUACUAUUACUACAAGGCCUCGUUGAAGAAAUGAUAACAGGUCAUGGAAUGCAGUUUCUGCAUUGUAAGUGGAAGCCCACAGUGUACUGAUGCUUCAGCAUGGAGGCAGAACUGACUACGAUAAGUUUCGCAUUGUGAUAUCAGUGUAAAUAAAUACAAACAUAAUACCAAUGAAGUCCCAAAACAACAUACAUAUAUUGAUUGAGACCAAAGGCAGAGGGAAAGGACCUUUGUCACAGAUGGUGGCUGAAUAAAUGAAAAUUCAAGUCGUUUAUUCUCUCAUCUAGAA